CAACCCGCGGGUAGGACGGAGUUUAGACCAGCUGAACCUCUUGUUGGUUUUAUACUGAGUCGACGUCAUCCUGGAUUUAGUUCCUGUCACUUUGGGUCUGACAACUACCAUAGGAAUCCGUAGGCCCUUACACAGCAGAGACCAAAUUAAAAUUCGCCACCAAGAGUAACACGCUCAAGCGAUGCUUCCAGCUGUUCCCUGCGUGGGUGUCGGCCCCCAGCCCCGGCGGCCUGGCAGAAGCCGGGCUCUGCUUGCCGCAGGCGGCCGCCGUUGAUUUGCGGGAUCCUCGGCGCCGCACUGCUCGUCCGCCCGAGCUGCCUGCCGGAGGCGCAUCCAGCCCGCGACCGUGCGCAGGCGGCAGAGCGCCCUUCGAGAAGAACAAGAAUGACAGUACCCACCUCUUGGGUUGUCCUGUAGAUUGAACGUGAC